GCUUAUGGAUGAGCAAAGAAAGUGGCUUUUUGAGAUGGAAUCUACUUUGGUGAAGAUGUUGGGAA
rnacentral:pre_miRNA from 1 species